UACGAAGGGUGCAAGCGUUACUCGGAAUUACUGGGCGUAAAGCGUGCGUAGGUGGUUUGUUAAGUCUGUUGUGAAAGCCCCGGGCUCAACCUGGGAAUGGCAAUGGAUACUGGCAAGCUAGAGUGCGGUAGAGGGUAGUGGAAUUCCCGGUGUAGCGGUGAUAUGCGUAGAGAUCGGGAGGAACACCAGUGGCGAAGGCGGCUACCUGGACCAGCACUGACACUGAGGCACGAAAGCGUGGGGAGCAAACAGG
rnacentral:rRNA from 1 species